ACAUUUUCCAAUUAAGAUAGUCACCUUUAGGUUAUUAAUUACAGCAGACAGGUUGAUGCAGUAUCUUGACCCAAUCUCAUCAUGGGCUGGAUUUACUAUGUGCUCUUAAGAUUUUAAUACCUUAAUGAUCUGAAUGUUUGCCCAGAAGAGUGCUGACUCAAUAUUUGGAAGUUGGGAAACCAUAUAAAUGCUCUCACCAUUUCAGUCGUUUCCACUAGUAUCUUUUGGCUUCCCUCGAUUUCUGGGGCUCACCUUUUCCUGCUGUUGGUUCUUUCUAGUCUGGAAAGUCAUCUAUCAACAUCAGAGGGAUGGAAGUGCUCCAGCCACUGCACGUGCCACUGCCCUUUCCUAUCAUAGUUCGUAGGCCUGUUGUUAAUACCUACCGACCACGCUGGCAUCCUCCCCUGUCUGAUGGAGUCCCCAUAUCAAUUUUGGAAGUUGGCACAUCCCCAUUCCUCCUGAGCAACAACCCUGAGCAGAGAUAUGGAGGGUCCUCAGGCUCUAGCUUUCCCCAACCUUCAUCUGAAAUUCAUUUGCCACCACUGAUACAACCAUACUCAUUUCUUUACAAUCCCGGAACAAGCUCACCCCUUCAUUGAAUGGGAACAUGAUCAUCACAGGAAUGGAACAGAACGGUACCCGAAUUGCACAAAAUGGAUUCACAGGUGAUGAUUGUAUGGGUUUAGGUGCCAGAAAUGUUGAGCCUCUCCAUCCAGAGAAACAAGAGCAGACUGGAUCAUCACCUCUGACACUCAUACCUACACCUGCCUGCUCAAAGCACCUCUCAGGUUUCCCUCCAACUCUCUUAGAUAUGGACUUUUUUGCUUCCUUUCUUUCAAGCCAACCUGAAGGCAUUCUGACCAAAAUUCAAGGGAUCCCAAAUUCACUGCUCAUUCUUUGAUGCAUCUCUGAAUAUUCCUCAGGGCUGCAAGAUUUAUGAUGCUUCCACUUUACUGAGAAGCUCUGUUAUUCUCUUUGUAUUUAUGCCUUCUCUCAUCUUACUCAUCUUUCAUCUGUCAUUCUGCUCUUCUGCACAAAAUGUAUUGUUCACCUUUCUGAAGCUGCUCAUCAUGGAAAGGCUUCCCUGCACUCCUCUUUCCCAUACAAUAAACCUUACCUAUCUGCAUCAAAA